rnacentral:miRNA from 1 species
UUGGAGGCAGGGGUUUU